rnacentral:rRNA from 1 species
ACUCAAAUGAAUUGACGGGGACCCGCACAAGCGGUGGAGCAUGUGGUUUAAUUCGAAGAUACGCGAAGAACCUUACCUGGGCUUGAUAUCCUAAGAACCUUAUAGAGAUAUGAGGGUGCUAGCUUGCUAGAACUUAGAGACAGGUGCUGCACGGCUGUCGUCAGCUCGUGUCGUGAGAUGUUGGGUUAAGUCCCGCAACGAGCGCAACCCACGUAUUUAGUUGCUAACGGUUCGGCCGAGCACUCUAAAUAGACUGCCUUCGUAAGGAGGAGGAAGGUGUGGACGACGUCAAGUCAUCAUGGCCCUUAUGCCCAGGGCGACACACGUGCUACAAUGGCAUAUACAAUGAGACGCAAUACCGCGAGGUGGAGCAAAUCUAUAAAAUAUGUCCCAGUUCGGAUUGUUCUCUGCAACUCGAGAGCAUGAAGCCGGAAUCGCUAGUAAUCGUAGAUCAGCCAUGCUACGGUGAAUACGUUCCCGGGUCUUGUACACACCGCCCGU